rnacentral:rRNA from 1 species
UACGUAGGGUGCGAGCGUUGUCCGGAAUUAUUGGGCGUAAAGAGCUCGUAGGCGGUCUGUCGCGUCUGCUGUGAAAUCCCGAGGCUCAACCCCGGACUUGCAGUGGGUACGGGCAGACUAGAGUGUGGUAGGGGAGACUGGAAUUCCUGGUGUAGCGGUGAAAUGCGCAGAUAUCAGGAGGAACACCGAUGGCGAAGGCAGGUCUCUGGGCCACUACUGACGCUGAGAAGCGAAAGCAUGGGGAGCGAACAGG